UAAGAUAGAGGCGCGAUUUUCACAAGUAGUUCUCAUUUCGGCGGCGGGUACCGCGGGAAAGAAAAGGGAAAUCGCCGAAGCUGCCGGAUCUGCCCGAGAUCCCGCGGCUGGGGUAUUGCAGCAUAUGCAAUGCACUGUCACCUUGGUGAAGCGCUAUC
rnacentral:ncRNA from 1 species